rnacentral:rRNA from 1 species
GACGAACGCUGGCGGCGUGCUUAACACAUGCAAGUCGAACGAAGAGCGAUGGAAGCUUGCUUCUAUCAAUCUUAGUGGCGAACGGGUGAGUAACGCGCAAUCAACCUGCCCUUCAGAGGGGGACAACAGUUGGAAACGACUGCUAAUACCGCAUACGAUCUAAUUUCGGCAUCGAGGAUAGAUGAAAGGUGGCCUCUAUGUAUAAGCUAUCACUGAAGGUGGGGAUUGCGUCUGGUUAGCGAGUUGGAGGGGGAAGGGCCCACCCAGGCGAUGGACAGUAGCCGGUCUGAGAGGAUGAACGGCCACAUUUGGACUGAGACACGGCCCAGACUCCUACGGGAGGCAGCAGUGGGGAAUCUUCCGCAAUGGACGAAAGUCUGACGGAGCAACGCCGCGUGAGUGAUGACGGCCUUCGGGUUGUAAAGCUCUGUUAAUCGGGACGAAAGGCCUUCUUGCGAAUAGUGAGAAGGAUUGACGGUACCGGAAUAGAAAGCCACGGCUAACUACGUG